GAGGACGCAGGCUGCCGCUGAGCCCCGCAGUUCCCUCCCGCUCACCACCUCCCGACCGCACACAGCCAACCACAGAUACUACUCCAGCAAGCGGCCAGAAAGCCUAGAGAUAGUGUGUAGGCUUCGGAGAAGUGACCAUCGCAGGGGCUGGGCGGAAGGUGUGGAGACCACCCGUAGACACCCCGGGCUCAGGCUGGCCUAUUUUAAAGGCAAACGCUCGAUGAAUUCAUCCUUUCCUUUCUCUUCCUCCACCUCCUCUGUGAGAUCUAUUUUAAAAGAUCAGAAUUUUCUUUACAUCCACCUCCAAACUGUGCUGCGGGAGGGGCAGGAACCUCGGUCGGGAGAAUUCCAGCCUACUGAGGGGAGCUGCCCGGACACCUAGAGGCUCGAGGAACCCACGGAAGGCUGUUGAAGUCAGCCUGGGGAGGGGCCCAAGGCAGCUCUGUCCAAAGGACUGGAUGAUGGCAGCAUGGUGGCCCCCAAGAAGUUGCUGGCCUGCCUCUUUCAAGAAGCCCUUCAGGGUAACUCCACAGCACGGCCCUGCUGUUUGAGUCCAGGCUCGUCAACAGCAGGCCUACUGGUGUUGCCUAACCCCUGAAGCUCCCAGCUCACCCCUCAAGGCCUCUGGAUGCGCCCAAGCUUGCCCUCUUAGACCCGCCCCCCCCACCUCCCCAAGCCCAGCCCCCACGCCCCAGGGGAAGCCUUGCUGCCUGGGAUGGGGGCAGCUCAAGGAGCACACAGCAGGGAUGCCAUCGGCGCUUGGUGAACCCGCGUGUGAGGGCCGUUGGAAGACAACUCCCACGCUACAGGUGAGAUGUUCUUGGAGCAGACCGGGCUGGGAGCCCCCUCCCCUGGGGCAGCAGGACACGGCUGCAUGCAGGCCAAGUGGCCAGGCCUGUCCCCAUCACGUGCCCCCUGCCAUGUGGUCACACUGGCUCCAGUGGCCUGAAGAUGGACAGUGAGCACCUGCUUCCGCCCACCUACUCCUUUACCUCGGGGAGUGGGGGUUCCAGAACCCCUUGGGGUGACCCUUGACGGCCUGGUGAGGGCCCAUGGCCUGGAGAGAGCAGUGUGUGCUCUGCUGGGGACCCUGGGGGCAGGCCCUCGCCAGCCAGCAGCAGGACGGCUCCCCGGUCCAGCCCCAAGCACCCCAGCUGUGCCCGCUGCCCAGGGGAGCCCCACAGAGCUCCUGGCCUGGGCAAGCGGGGGAAGAGCCCUGCGAGGGGAGCUGCCGUGUCUGAGGCGCAGGCCUGUCUGGUCUCGCGUCCUGGCCCGCACCCUGCCUUCUGGGGUCCGAGGCUGGGGCAGGCCUGGUGGACAUGCAGGGUCCUGUAUCCUGAGCCAGGUGGGGGCUCUGGGGGUUAAUCAGGACCCGCACGAGCCUGCAGCAGCCGGGACAGGGUGGGAAGGCCCGCGGCAGGGAGACCGCAGACGGUGGCAUUCAGAGCUAAGGCCAAGGCCGGGCAGUUGUAGACCGUUCCUAUGACGGGACACCCACCUCGUUCCAGUAGCCACAUGCUCCCUGCUGCCCCGGGCUUGUGACCAGGCUCACCUCAAGGGCCUGACCUGAGUGCCAGGUAAGCCCAGGCCUGCGCCCACAGCGCUGACCACCCCGCUCCAGGCCCUGGGGCCCUGCAGCUCAGCACUCGCGGGGAGCCCCAUCUGAGAGACCCCAUGGAGGUGGCCGUGGGGCACAAGGGUCCCCAGCCCUCACACCCCGAAACCCCAAGGGAGAACAGACGGGGCGGGCCUCCCGGAUGAGACCCUGUAUGAGCCAGUGGCUGCAGGAGGGAGGGCCCCACUCCUGGUCCCGACCACACAGCCCGCCUCGUCCCUCUCAAGGCCAAGAGCAGACAGCAGCCUGGCCCAGACCCACACCAGGGCCCUUCUGGGAAACGAGACACGGUCUAUUUUUGCUGGCUGACAACACAACAGAAGCAGCCGCUGUGACUUAUCUCUGCCACCCACGGGCGCGGCCACAGAGGCGGCUUUGUGCCCCGGGGCUCCGCAGCCCCCCACCCCCCACAGUCCCAGCCAGAGACAGGGUGGGUGGGGGAGGGCCCCAAUGAGGCCCCUGAAGGCCCUCGGGCCGCCGGCCCCUGUCUGUGUGAGUCAGCACCUCCCAGAUUGCCCCCUGCGCCCCCGCGCACCGGCCCUGGAGAGGUCUCCCACCAGCCCACGCGGGGCCCUCACUCUGCAGGCAGCAUGGCCUACUGCUUUUUGGGGGGUUCUCUCCAGCCCCAGGCAGGGCUAGCCUCUCCGGUCAGGGUCACCCAAGACCCCCACCACACCCCAGUAUCAGAGGGCCUGGAGUCAGGGUCUCAGGGACCGCAAACCGGAGCCCCUCACCCUCUCCACCCCUGCCGCUGGGGAGGAGAAUGGCCCUGCCUGCCCCCACUCAGGCUGGUCUGGUCUGGACUGUGGCACACAGACUUGGAGGAGUCCGGGCUGAGCCGGACACGGGGCAGCACUGCUGGACGUGAGGGUGGACCUGAUGGCCCUCUGGGGCCAGCAGCGUCCUCUCCUGUAACGUCACCACGCCCCGCAAGCCCGGCUCAAGCCUGCAGCAAACGUCAGGACCCAGGAGAUAGCCUGGCUGCUCCCCCCCGCCCGAAGACAUGGUCACCUUCCCCCCACAGCCAGACUGGAGUGGACAGGCCCCUGCGAGGCUGGGCGGGGCUGGGGACAGACGCCAGGCCGCAGCCCCCGUGACCCCAGAGGACCUCGAUGACGUGGACUGAGGUCUCAGAUUGCUGGUCUGCGGGCUCUCGGCUGCCACUUCCCUGCCUGCAGCGUCCCCAGGCUGGUCCCAGGGUCCAAGCCCACAUGGUGCAGCUGAGCCCACCCCACCAAGUUCCAUGCUGGGGUCACGGAUCCCCCCGCAGACAACACCGGCCACGCGUGGCCACAGUGCUCCCGCCAGGGGCUUUGUGCUCCUCAGAGCAAAGCCUGACAUGGGGCUCGUCUCUGGACCCCUCCUCCUCGGGUCCUCGUCUGGUCUGCAGCUUCCAGCGAAUCAGUUGGGGCCACGGGCAGGAUGGGGGCCCAUUCCACAAACACAGCCAGGUGGUCUGCGAAGGUGAGCCUGGAAGGCAGGUGAGGCACCUGUCAGGGGGGGCCGUGCCCACUCUGCUUCUGGAGAGUUCUCGGGGCUGCUGACAUCAACCAUGGCUACUCCAGACGCCCGAGUCCCCUGGAGCCAUGAAGCUGGUGCUGUGGUUGACCAGCGCUCUCAAGAUAUCGCUGAGAUGGGUCAAGUUACAGGACAGUCUACAUACACAGAUGACCUCAUCGCUGUCGUGGAAGGGCAGAGGGCACACGCCUUCAGGCACAACUUCAAUGAGUCGUAAUAAUUGGAUGCACCCACCACUCCCACAGCCACGACAUGGAGCAUUUCACGGCUCCGGAAAGUUCUUUCCUGCCCCCUCCCAGUCAGGCCCCACCCUGCAGGCAACCUCUGCUUGGAUUUCUAUCACCGUUGGUUCCUUUCGCCUCUUCUUGGACUUCAUAGAAAUAGAGUUAUAUGGAGGUAUUAUUUUGGGUCUGGCUUCUUUCGCUUGAAUUUUUGAGGCUCUCCCAUGACAUCCCCUGUCCCCUCUCACUGCCAGGCCGGGUUCCAUUGUGCUCCUACAGCACCAACUCCUUUCCCCAAGUUCCCGUUCAGAAAUAACUUGAGUUGCUCUUUUUUCGUUUUUAGCGAUUAUCAACGGAGCUGCUAUGAACAUGCUUUUACAAGUCUUUCCCCAGACAUGUAUUUUCAUUUCUUUUGGGUAAAUAGCAAGAAAUGGAAUUUCUGUGUGGAACGGUAGAAGUAUAUUGAGCUUUAUAAGAAGUGGUCGAAGAGUUCUCCCACCCGGCCGUGUGACCUCAUAGCCCCACCACCGUGUUCGAGAGUUCCGCCUGCUCCGAGUUCUUGCCAAUACUGGGUGUUGUCAGGGAUUUUUCAUUCCAGCCGCCAACUGGAGAGAAAUGCUAUCUCCUUGUGGUUUUUACUGCAUGUCCUGAUGAUUAAUGAUGUCUGAUGAUCUCAAAAGGUGUUUAUCUUUGGUAGUAGGGUCUUUAUAUAUUUAGGAUAAAGGUCCCAUGUUAGAGAGACGCACUGAAUCCUUUCUUCCAGUCUGUGGUUUGCACUGUAUUCUCUGAGCAAGUGUCUUUGCACGAACAGAUGUUUGUAAUCUUAGUGAAGCCGAAUUUAUCUGUUUUCCCUUUGAUGUGUAUUGUUUUUUGUACCCUUCCUAAGAAAACCAUCUCCUGUUUUCCUUUGCUUUUACACUUUUGUCUAUGAUCCAUCUCUAACUUUUUGUGUGUGGUGAGUUAAGAGCUGAAGUUCAUUUUUUUUCCUCCAUCUGUUUAUCUGCUUGUUCAAUUAUUUGUUGGAAAAAAAUUUCCUUUUCUGAUUGAAUCGCCUCAUCACCCUGGUAAAAAAUCAAUUAACCAUGGUUCACCACAGUAUGGAUGUACUAAAUACACUUGGAAAACAAUCAA